rnacentral:rRNA from 1 species
UACAGAGGUCUCAAGCGUUGUUCGGAUUCAUUGGGCGUAAAGGGUGCGUAGGCGGCGCGGUAAGUCGGGUGUGAAAUCUCGGAGCUUACUCCGAAACUGCAUUCGAUACUGCCGUGCUUGAGGACUGGAGAGGAGACGUGGAAUUUACGGUGUAGCGGUGAAAUGCGUAGAUAUCGUAAGGAAGACCAGUGGCGAAGGCGGGUCUCUGGACAGUUCCUGA